GAAAUGCGAUAAGUAAUGUGAAUUGCAGAAUUCAGUGAAUCAUCGAAUCUUUGAACGCACAUUGCGCCCGCCAGUAUUGUGGCGGGCAUGCCUGUCCGAGCGUCAUUUCAACCAUCAAGCCCCCGGGCUUGUGUUGGGGACCUGCGGCUGCCCGCAGGCCCUGAAAACCAGUGGCGGGCUCGCUGUCACACCGAGCGUAGUAGCAAUCACCUCGCUCAGGGCGUGCUGCGGGUUCCGGCCGUUAAACAGCCUUACAAAACCCAAGGUUGACCUCGGAUCAGGUAGGAAGACCCGCUGAACUUAAGC
rnacentral:misc_RNA from 1 species